AACCUGGUUGAUCCUGCCAGUAGUCAUAUGCUUGUCUCAAAGAUUAAGCCAUGCAUGUCUCAGAAUAAGUUUCGACGAAUCUGCGAAUGGCUCAUUAAAACAGUUAUAAUUUAUUUGGUGAUCAACUGUUUAUAUGGAAUACCUGCGGUAAUUCUGGAGCUAAUACAUGCUCCAAAUCUCGACUUUGCGGAAGAGAUGUAUUUAUUGGACACAGAACCAAUCCCUUCGGGGCCCCAGGAUGAUUCACAAUAAACGAACGGAGCACAUGGCUCGUGCCGGUGCUAGACCAUUCAAGUUUCUGACCUAUCAGCUUUCGAUGGUAGGGUAUUGGCCUACCAUGGCAUUGACGGGUAACGGAGAAUUAGGGUUCGAUUCCGGAGAGGGAGCCCGAGAAACGGCUACCACAUCUAAGGAAGGCAGCAGGCGCGCAAAUUACCCAAUGCUGACACAGUGAGGUAGUGACAAGAAAUAACAAAGCAAGUUCGUUUCGAAUCUUGCUAUUGGAAUGAGUAGAAUUUAAAUCUCUUUACGACUAUCAAUUGGAGGGCAAGUCUGGUGCCAGCAGCCGCGGUAAUUCCAGCUCCAAUAGCGUAUAUUAAAGUUGUUGCGGUUAAAAAGCUCGUAGUUGGAUUUCUUCGGAGGUAGACGGGUCCGCCUUUUGGGCGAGCAUUCGAUCGGCCUCUGAAUCCUGUCAAAGAACGUACUUGUGAUUCAGCUCAUGAUGCGGAAUUUGACACUUUUACUUUGAGGAAAUUAGAGUGGUCACGGGAGGCAAUCGCCUUGAAUAUGUUAGCAUGGAAUAAUAAUAUAGGAUCUUGGGUCUAUUUUGUUGGUUUCUAGAGCUAAGAUAAUGAUUAAUAGGGACAAUUGGGGGUAUUCGUAUUAACACGUCAGAGGUGGAAUUCUUAGAUUGUGUUACGACGAACUACUGCGAAAGCAUUUACCAAGGAUGUUUUCAUUGAUCAAGAACGAAAGUGAGGGGAUCGAAGAUGAUUAGAUACCGUCGUAGUCUUCACCAUAAACUAUGCCGACUAAGGAUUCGUGGAGUACCUUAUAUGUCUCCCUGACCACUUUAUGAGAAAUCAAAGUCUUUGGGCUCCGGGGGGAGUAUGGUCGCAAGGCUGAAACUUAAAGGAAUUGACGGAAGGGCACCACCAGGAGUGGAGCUGCGGCUUAAUUUGACUCAACACGGGAAAACUUACCAGGUCCAGACACAGUUAGGAUUGACAGAUUAAGAGCUCUUUCUUGAUUCUGUGGGUGGUGGUGCAUGGCCGUUCUUAGUUGGUGGAGUGAUUUGUCUGGUUAAUUCCGUUAACGAACGAGACCGUAACCUGCUAAAUAGCAAGUCGUAUCUUCGGAUAUUGGCCUUUGCUUCUUAGAGGGACUUUGUGAAUUUAAAUGCAAGGAAGUUUGCGGCUAUAACAGGUCUGUGAUGCCCUUCGAUGUUCUGGGCUGCACGCGCGCUACACUGAUGCGUUCAACGUGUUUAUAACCUUGACCGACAGGUUUGGGUAAUCAUAAAAACGCAUCGUGCUGGGGAUAGAUUAUUGUAAUUAUUAAUUUUCAACGAGGAAUUCUUAGUAGACACAGUUCAUCAGUCUGUAUCGAUUACGUCCCUCCCCUUUGUCCCCCCCCCCCGUCGCUCCUCCCGAUUGAGCAAUCCGGUGAAUAAUUCGGACUGAGUCAGUUUCCGGUUUCGGAUUCAGGUUUGGAAAGUUUAGUGAACCUUAUUGCUUAGAGGAAGGAGAAGUCGUAACAAGGUUUCCGUAGGUGAACCUGCAGAAGGAUC
rnacentral:rRNA from 1 species